rnacentral:rRNA from 1 species
AGCCCAGAGCCUGAAUCAGUGUGUGUGUUAGUGGAAGCGUCUGGAAAGGCGUGCGAUACAGGGUGACAGCCCCGUACACAAAAAUGCACAUGCUGUGAGCUCGAUGAGUAGGGCGGGACACGUGGUAUCCUGUCUGAAUAUGGGGGGACCAUCCUCCAAGGCUAAAUACUCCUGACUGACCGAUAGUGAACCAGUACCGUGAGGGAAAGGCGAAAAGAACCCCGGCGAGGGGAGUGAAAAAGAACCUGAAACCGUGUACGUACAAGCAGUGGGAGCACGCUUAGGCGUGUGACUGCGUACCUUUUGUAUAAUGGGUCAGCGACUUAUAUUCUGUAGCAAGGUUAACCGAAUAGGGGAGCCGAAGGGAAACCGAGUCUUAACUGGGCGUUAAGUUGCAGGGUAUAGACCCGAAACCCGGUGAUCUAGCCAUGGGCAGGUUGAAGGUUGGGUAACACUAACUGGAGGACCGAACCGACUAAUGUUGAAAAAUUAGCGGAUGACUUGUGGCUGGGGGUGAAAGGCCAAUCAAACCGGGAGAUAGCUGGUUCUCCCCGAAAGCUAUUUAGGUAGCGCCUCGUGAAUUCAUCUCCGGGGGUAGAGCACUGUUUCGGCAAGGGGGUCAUCCCGACUUACCAACCCGAUGCAAACUGCGAAUACCGGAGAAUGUUAUCACGGGAGACACACGGCGGGUGCUAACGUCCGUCGUGAAGAGGGAAACAACCCAGACCGCCAGCUAAGGUCCCAAAGUCAUGGUUAAGUGGGAAACGAUGUGGGAAGGCCCAGACAGCCAGGAUGUUGGCUUAGAAGCAGCCAUCAUUUAAAGAAAGCGUAAUAGCUCACUGGUCGAGUCGGCCUGCGCGGAAGAUGUAACGGGGCUAAACCAUGCACCGAAGCUGCGGCAGCGACGCUGAUGCGUUGUUGGGUAGGGGAGCGUUCUGUAAGCCUGCGAAGGUGUGCUGUGAGG